rnacentral:rRNA from 1 species
CCUACGGGCGGCAGCAGUGAGGAAUAUUGGUCAAUGGACGAGAGUCUGUACCAGCCAAGUAGCGUGAAGGAUGACUGCCCUAUGGGUUGUAAACUUCUUUUAUAUGGGAAUAAAAUGUUCCACGUGUGGGAUUUUGUAUGUACCAUAUGAAUAAGGAUCGGCUAACUCCGUGCCAGCAGCCGCGGUAAUACGGAGGAUCCGAGCGUUAUCCGGAUUUAUUGGGUUUAAAGGGAGCGUAGGUGGAUUGUUAAGUCAGUUGUGAAAGUUUGCGGCUCAACCGUAAAAUUGCAGUUGAAACUGGCAGUCUUGAGUACAGUAGAGGUGGGCGGAAUUCGUGGUGUAGCGGUGAAAUGCUUAGAUAUCACGAAGAACUCCGAUUGCGAAGGCAGCUCACUGGACUGCAACUGACACCGAGGCUCGAAAGUGUGGGUAUCAAACAGGAUUAGAUACCCUUGUAGUC